AUGCUGCAUGGGCGCAGCCUGAUGCAGCGACGCCGCGUGAGGGAUGAAGGCCUUCGGGUUGUAAACCUCUUUCAGUAGGGAAGAAGCCGGCUCUUUGGGUUGGUGACGGUACCUGCAGAAGAAGCGCCGGCUAACUACGUGCCAGCAGCCGCGGUAAUACGUAGGGCGCAAGCGUUAUCCGGAAUUAUUGGGCGUAAAGAGCUCGUAGGCGGUUUGUCGCGUCUGCCGUGAAAGUCCGGGGCUUAACCCCGGAUCUGCGGUGGGUACGGGCAGACUAGAGUGCAGUAGGGGAGACUGGAAUUCCUGGUGUAGCGGUGAAAUGCGCAAAUAUCAGGAGGAACACCGAUGGCGAAGGCAGGUCUCUGGGCUGUAACUGACGCUGAGGAGCGAAAGCAUGGGGAGCGAACAGGAUUAGAUACCCUGGUAGUCCAUGCCGUAAACGUUGGGCACUAGGUGUGGGGGACAUUCCACGUUUUCCGCGCCGUAGCUAACGCAUUAAGUGCCCCGCCUGGGGAGUACGGCCGCAAGGCUAAAACUCAAAGAAAAUUGACGG
rnacentral:rRNA from 1 species